CAAUAAUGAAUCAUUUUGUCUGCAAAUGAUUUACGAUUGCAAUAUGGCAAUAUAGACUAAGAAUAUUAUGGUAAUAUAGACCAAAAUGGCAGACCAAUCGCAAACCAAUCGAAUGUCGUUGGAAUACGAUUGGUCUUAUAUUAGUAACAGAAUGCCCGAUAUGGUUAAAAAAGCUGUUGCGAUGCAAUUUCUAUUCAAUUUUGACAUUAUUAACUUAACAGAAUCGGGCCCCAGAAUCGUGCUCCUGAAAGCUCCUAGUCAUCCGGAUAAACUUGUCAUCACGGGAGAUACCAACUCAGUCAAUUAUAAGGUUGGGCGUUUAGAGAAACACAGUUCCUUACGAGUAACCAUUUAUUACUGAAUCCCAUAUGAAAUGAUACAUGAUUUAAUAAGAUAGACAUACAUAGAUAGACACGCGCACACAUACAUAGGUAAUAGGUAUUCAUUCAUACAUACACUAUACAAUAUCAGCAUACAAACUUCAUAUUUUUGUAAUUUAUUUUUCAGGUGUGACACAACAUCAAUUUCCACACCCAGAAAAGAAUCCUGAGUUAUUCAAAGCCUGGGUUAAUAUAGUUGGUGGAAAACUGGAGACUGCAGAUGAUAUCAAAUUUUACAGAAAGCGAGUCAUCUGUGACAUACAUUUUGCAGACAAGUUUAAGAAUCGCAACAACCGUUUAAAUAACAUAGCUGUUCCUACUCUCCAUCUUCAGGGUAAGAUUUAGAUCUUUAUUCUUGAACUAGAUCGCAAUGCCACCUACUGAGUUAAAAUUGCCAUUAAGAAAACAAAAUUCUUAAUUAUUCACAAUUAAACUGAACUGAAAUCUUUUAGGCCACCUGUUUGCAGUAUAUUAAUAUUUAAUUGGAUAUAAAAUGCAGUUCAUUCACCCCUUAACCAACUCGGUGAAGGUUGUUGUUUAGUGGGAUCUUAGACUUGUUUUUACUAUUUCCAGGUGCUCCAUCACAAGAUGCUCAUAUGCCUCCUGCAACUCCACAUAUACCAACUGAACUUCCUAUGCCUGAACAUAAUAUAUGGAAUCUGCCUUCUACAUCAAAGCAAAUAGUCACUGGUGCUCCAUCACAAGAUGCUCAUAUGCCUCCUGCAACUCCACAUAUACCAACUGAACUUCCUAUGCCUGAACAUAAUAUAUGGGAUCUGCCUUCUACAUCAAAGCAAAUAAUCACUGGUAUGUAAACGCUUGGCUACCUACAUUCUCAAAUUAUGUUUAACUAGCUACCAUAAUUAAUUACUGCAUUAAGUAAUAUGUAACUGUUGUGUAGUCAUUACAAACACACUUCAACUUGAUUUAUUGUAAUGACAAUUUAGGUUAAUAAUCCUCAUGUAACUCACACUAGUAAUUUUGAUGUUUACAAUGACAAUGGUGAAUUAUUAUUAUUUUAUUUUCAGCUGCACCUCCCAAUGCGUGUGUUAUAGCAGCAGAACAUAAUUAUUGCAGUAAACAUGGUAUACAACAAAGACGGAAACUUAAAGGAGACAAAAAAAAACUGAAAUCAACUUCAUCGCUGGAGAAUGAAUUAAAGAUUUCAAGAUUCCAAAUGAAGAAUUUAAAAACCGAAAUUAUUCGGUUACGUAAACGGAGUAGUAGUUUGAAAGAAAGAUUAGCCAGCGUUGAUAAAAUUAGCAAUACAAAUUGUUUAAAAAAUAACGAGAAAUA